AUCAUAAACUCUAAUGUGUGUGACCUCAUAGAUCCAAAUCUAAGUCAGUAGUACAGAGAUAAAUUUUUAUACCAAUCGAAGUGACCAUCUAGCAAUGGUACCUGACGAUCGGAUAGGUAGAAUGUGUAGAACAACAUCCUUAGAACCCAUGCAGAUAUAGUUUUCAUAUAAUUCAUCUCCUUGACCAAAAUGCUCAUAGGAUACCUCAGAGUUUAACUG
rnacentral:lncRNA from 1 species